ensembl:lncRNA
GUGAGAUACAUUUCUCUAAGUGCAUCUUGUGGCUGCAAGUGGGAGAGGCAGGGCCUGAAUCUGGCCAAGAGAUCUCAGGACAAAGCUAAAUCGCAUUUCCAAAGCCAGUCCUUAGACUUGUUCAAGUGUAAGCAGCUUUCACUAAACAGAAGUUUGAUGAGCCGAGCAGGAGUGAAUCAGAAACACGAGGCUGAUGUUUGUCUUCAUCUGCAAGGGGGUUUGGCAGUCUCCAGGCUCCCUUGGCAAGCAGGAUUUGGGCGCUGCCAAAACCUGGAGCUCUGGCGUGAUAGCGUGACCCUUCCGGUCAGGCCAGGCCUCCCGCCCGCCUUCCUGCUGUUCAAAUCAGAGUCUCGGCCUCUCAUGGCCUCUCCUGCUGCUUCACCCUUGAGCCCCGAGGACAGAGUGGCAGGAGGCGUCUCUGUAACCACAUCACGUGUGGGGGAAAAAUGGCACAGAGCGCUCUUUCCUGGAGCGCGGUCAAUGCAGCAGUACCCCAGGUGCCAGGAAACCCAAGCCUUGGAAACUGUGGCUGCAGGUUCCAUCCCCAGGUUGUGGGUGUGGACCACAUUUGCACCAGCAGCUGGACAAAGACAUGGUUGUCCUGAAUCCACAGGGGAGGAUGGCGAACGACAGGGUCAGUUCACCUUUGCUGAGCUUGAAUCCAAGCUACAGGUUGGGGGCCCAGCUCUGCUUUACCAGUCUCUGCUUAUCCAUGGACCAGUGGGCCGACUGGAACAUACUCUUCUCACGGCGAGGGCAGAAGUCAGACAGAAGCACUUGAGGGGAAACCUGAGUUUCUCCUAACAUCGAGGCUUGUAUUGGUACACUGUCACUUCUACCCACAUUCUAUUGGCCAAAACAAAUCCUAUGGACAAGCCCAACCUUAGUCGGGCAGGGAAAGACACUCUGUCUUGGGUGAGAAGCACGCCAAAGGCAUAUCCAAAGAGCAAGCAUACAGGAAGGGAUCAAGAAUUGGACGCAAUAGCAAUAGUGUAAUCCAUCUCAGGGGAUAUUAGGCUAAAGGGGGUUUGCUCUCCCAGACCUCUAGUGGGGGGGUGGUUAGUUGAGUUUAUUCAACCAGAUGCAGGCUAAGAAGGAAAAAGGAAGUGACCAUAGGUCAGUUUUGUCUACUGGAAGCAGGAUGCAGAGACAGGGGACUCACUUGUAUUGAAAAUAUGAAUAUCUUAAGAGGAGAGAGUAGAGGAGGAAGAGAUGGACAGAGAUCCUCAUGAUUCAGAAUAUAAUCCAUGCUGCUCUGGUAAGUAUGGCCCAUGGAUGGAUGGACUCUCUCCAUUCUCCAGUCAGAUGAGUCAUUUUUCUUCCCAUAGGAUGGGGGCAGCUAGAGAAUGGGGAGAGGAAUGGCAAACGUUCAUGACUAUUGCUCCUUUCUGAGGAGGGGAAGCAGGAAUCCUCUGGCUAGGGAGUAAGAGAAGAAGUGCUUGACUCACAGAUGUUUCUGUGGGAGGCAUGGACCCACAGGACACCACCAGGUGGAUGUCUGCAAUGUGGCUGGUAAGGGCUGGCAUUCCUGUUCCUUGGCCCCUUCUGGACAAGCACUGCUGGGGCCCCUGUGAUUCUAAGUCACUUCCUGCAGGGACCACCCCCCCCACACCCCCCGCCGCGCUUCAUGCUCAGGUGUCUGACCCUGAGACUUUGCCUACCUGCUGUUAGACCCUGCAUGGUCUCCUUCCAGGUAGGUGAUAACAGACAGCUUGUUAAUCAGACAAACUAAUCAUGCAGAUUAGGCCUGGUUCAAGCAUGGAUCAUCCCUUCCAGGGAAUCUCAUGUUUAAUAUUUACACCAAUUAAAGGCUCUG